rnacentral:misc_RNA from 1 species
GGGACGUCGACGUCGACGCUUCAUUGCCGGUGAGAUGACCUUUCAGCUUCUUCUUCAACAUUUGCUUAAACGAUUCUGAAUCUCCGCAUUUUCUUCGCACCUCCACCACCACCAAUCCAUCGGUUAAUCCGAAAAUUUCAAUUCCGACGACCAAAUUACGACUCUGCGCAUCCAAUUCAACUCCAAACUCUUUAUGUUUCUUCACCUUCAGAUUCUCAGCCCUAGCAAAUUCC